CCUACGAGGUGCAGCAGUGGGGAAUAUUGCACAAUGGGGGCAACCCUGAUGCAGCGACGCCGCGUGAGGGAAGAAGUACUUCGUUAUGUAAAGCUCUAUCAGCAGGGAAGAAAAUGACGGUACCUGAGUAAGAAGCCCCGGCUAACUACGUGCCAGCAGCCGCGGUAAUACGCAGGGGGCCAGCGUUAUCCGGAUUUACGGGGCGGAAAGGGAGCGUAGACGGCAGUGCAAGUCUGGAGUGAAAGGCGGGGGCUCAACCCCCGGACUGCUCUGGAAACUGUACGGCUGGAGUGCAGGAGAGGUAAGUGGAAUGCCUAGUGUAGCGGUGAAAUGCGUAGAUAUUAGGAGGAACACCAGUGGCGAAGGCGGCUUACUGGACUGUAACUGACGUUGAGGCUCGAAAGCGUGGGGAGCAAACAGGAUUAGAUACCCUGGUAGUC
rnacentral:rRNA from 1 species